GAACAGGAAACAGCUGAAGCUGCGGUGGAAGCACUUCCUGUGAAGAGACGUGAAGAAGAGACGCAGCAGGAAAGACAAGUGUCCUCAGUCGUUCCCUUGUUCUAAUAAUGAGCUCCACCGCUCAGGCAGGACAUUGUCCCCUGAUUCUCAGAGGUAACAAUUCUUCCAGGACUAUGGACCAGACGAGUCCUGUCCCACGGGACGAGUCCUGUCCCACGGGACGAGUCCUGGGGGGUUCACUUGUAAGACAAAGUCCUGCCACAGUGACAAACACACAGCCUGAACGUCUGAUGUUCGCACACAGACACACACUCCUCUCUCUCUCCCUGAGAGCUCGUGGUUCAUUGAGCGAAACAUGAGGACGUCAUGAGACCACGCUGCUAACACGGAGGCUAACGGUUUAGCU